rnacentral:rRNA from 1 species
AACGAACGCUGGCGGCAGGCCUAACACAUGCAAGUCGAGCGCCCCGCAAGGGGAGCGGCGGACGGGUGAGUAACGCGUGGGAACGUACCCUUUGCUACGGAAUAGCCUCGGGAAACUGGGAGUAAUACCGUAUGUGCUCUUCGGAGGAAAGAUUUAUCGGCAAAGGAUCGGCCCGCGUUGGAUUAGGUAGUUGGUGGGGUAAUGGCCUACCAAGCCGACGAUCCAUAGCUGGUUUGAGAGGAUGAUCAGCCACACUGGGACUGAGACACGGCCCAGACUCCUACGGGAGGCAGCAGUGAGGAAUCUUAGACAAUGGGCGCAAGCCUGAUCUAGCCAUGCCGCGUGAGCGAUGAAGGCCUUAGGGUUGUAAAGCUCUUUCAGUGGGGAAGAUAAUGACUGUACCCACAGAGGAAGCCCCGGCUAACUCCGUGCCAGCCGCCGCGGUAA